UGAAUACGAGACGCUACGGCGUCGAAGCAGUCUAUGUCAUACUUCCAAGAAAAGCUUGCACUGUCAUAAACAAAUAAUGCCUGUACCAUAACCGACACAGGUGGGUAGGUAGAGUAUACUAAGGGGCGCGAGAUAACUCUCUCUAAGGAACUCGGCAAAAUGACUCCGUAACUUCGGGAGAAGGAGUGCCUUAUUCGUAAGGUUGCAAUAACAAGAUCCAAGCAACUGUUUAUCAAAAACACAGGUCUCCGCUAAGUCGUAAGACGAUGUAUGGGGGCUGACGCCUGCCCAGUGCCAGAAGGUUAAAGAAGUUGGUUAGCAUUCGCGAAGCUGAUAACUGAAGCCCUGGUGAACGGCGGCCGUAACAAUAACGGUCCUAAGGUAGCGAAAUUCCUUGUCGGGUAAGUUCCGACCCGCACGAAAGGCGUAAUGAUUUGGAUACUGUCUCGGAGAGAGGCUCGGUGAAAUAGACUUGUCUGUGAAGAUGCGGACUACCUGCACCUGGACAGAAAGACCCUAUGAAGCUUUACUGUAACUUGAAAUUGAAAUUGGACUUUAUUUGCGCAGUAUAGGUGGGAGGCGUUGAGAAUAUUCUUGCGGGAAUAUUGGAGCCAUCAGUGAGAUACCACUCUUGUAAUGUUAGAUUUCUAACUUUGGAUCAUUAUCUGGUCAAAGGACAGUUUCAGGCGGGCAGUUUGACUGGGGCGGUCGCCUCCCAAACGGUAACGGAGGCGUACAAAGGUUUCCUCUGAACGGGUAGAAAUCGUAUCUAGAGUGUAAAGGCAUAAGGAAGCUUGACUGUGAGACCUACAAGUCGAGCAGGGACGAAAGUCGGUCUUAGUGAUCUGACGGUGCUGAGUGGAAAGGCCGUCACUCAACGGAUAAAAGUUACUCUAAGGAUAACAGGCUGAUCUCCCCCAAGAGUUCACAUCGACGGGGAGGUUUGGCACCUCGAUGUCGGCUCAUCGCAUCCUGGGGCGGUAGUACGUCCCAAGGGUUGGGCUGUUCGCCCAUGAAAGCGGUACGCGAGCUGGGUUCAGAACGUCGUGAGACAGUUCGGUCCAUAUCCGGUGUAGGCGUUAGAAUAUUGAGAGGAGCCUUCUUUAGUACGAGAGGACCGAGAAGGACAUACCUCUGGUGUACCAGUUAUCGUGCCAACGGUAAACGCUGGGUAGCUAUGUAUGGAGAGGAUAACCGCUGAAAGCAUCUAAGUGGGAAGCCCACCUCAAGAUAAG
rnacentral:rRNA from 1 species